UUGUGUGAAGGCUUAAUUUGUAUCAGAUUCUGUAACCGAUCUUUUCUUGAUGUGUGGAAAGUUUGUAGUUUUCCAGUCAGGGACUGAGAUUUCUUUUUAGCAACAAAUCAGAGCUGGUUUUAUAAGCUGAAUCUUCUUUCUAGUCAUUGUUAAUGCAUCUGCGUGCAUAAGUACACCCCAGCACCCACCUCUCGUCUGUUACAGUAGUAGAUAAGUGCUUACUACUUUGUCUGCAAAUUAAGUGUGCCAGGAUUUAGAUGUGUUUUAAAACCUUUGGACUGUUUACCUUCAGAAAAACACUUGGACUGUGAGUUUUUUUUUAAUGAGAAUUCUUCUGUUCUUACUGUUGACAGAUAGCUUUGUAAUUACCCUUUGCUUUCAUGUGUUUCAUGUGAGUUCAGUAGUUGUUUCCACUUAUAGCAUCUAUUAAUUGUCUGCAUUGUCAUUUCCUUUAUUUUUCUUUAGAAGACAACUAAAAGCACUGUUAAUCUAUGAACACAGUUGAAGAAUAAUCUUGCAGAAUUCCUUUGCUAUAAAUGGCAGUUCCGUGCUGUCUCUCCCCCACCUCUUGCUCCUUCCCCCUCCCUCCAUGCUCUUCCCCCCAUUUUUUAAUGUCUAAAUGAAGUGAGAUUCACUUGGUCGAUAUUCAGGUGAGUCUCUAAGGAAUGCCAUGCAGUCCUCAGACGCAUCGCAGCACUGCAUAUAGCACGGUGGCAGCUCGCUGCUGCUCACCAGAGACUGAAGUUUUAGAAAGGGUCAGAAAAGAGCUACAGAAGAAGCAUAUGACAGGUUCACAUUCUGUGAGCAGACAUUAAUUUGCUGUCAUUGCUAAAUUCCCACUUUAAAUUUGAAACUUCUGGAGGAAUGUAGUACUGACUUCUAGCUUAAAGGAUGGGCUUUGUUGGGCUAUUAACUCAAGUCCAGCCUAAAGCACACACCUCACUUAGUCAUUAGAGCUAAGUGACAGCAGUGGAUGUAACACUCAUGUUAUGUUCUAAGGUACUUUUGAGGCUCUCUGUGAUGAAAGGUGCUGCAUGCAUGUUAUGUGGUUACCUGGGCCUGUUUGCUGUACCUUUCCCCAUAGUUACCUGGUCCAGGGCUAGUUCUUGGAGAGGAGGUGAUGCUUCACACCUUUCCAGUGCCUGAUUUUCUUGGACCGCUUUGUUUUUUCUGGUUUCUACCACAGUGCAUUCUUAGCAUUGAUUCUGUUCUCAUUUUGCUGUGCCCUUUGUUGGUGAGUGGGUUUUGUUUUGUUUUGCUGCCUGCUUGUUGGCAGUGGAUCCCGUGUGUGGUGUUUAAGUUCAAACCCAGUGUGAUGGUUCCUACCUAUUCAUUCCUGACUUUCUCCUUACCUGAUACUGUGCCUUUUUUUGCCUACUUCAUGAGUAGAUUGUGCUCUUCAGUGUUCUGUGUCUGUCUGUGCAUAUAAAUAGCCAAUUCUAUUUAAAUUUGCUCUGUUUCAUAGAGCUUAUGGCUUUUCAGUUCUUUCCUGGCAUCUUUCCAUAAGUAGAGAGGCUAGUGAACUUCCUUCAGCAUAUCAGGGUUUUCAGUUUAAACCUGGCUGAUUUCCUCUCUGUCCAUUCUGUUUGCUGCUUGCUGCCUUCUUCCUCCAGAAAUGAGCUGUGACACCACUUCAACCUGGGAAAAUCAGUUAUGCCUUGUUUUUUUUGCCUGUAACAUGUAGAAAUAUGAGAGGACUGUAAUGCUGCAGAGGUUUGUGUUCUUCUCUCCAGAGGGAUUUUAAAAACAAAAAAAGGUGGGGAGGGCAACUGGUGUUUAAGGAACAAAUGUUGAAUUAUGCAGUGUUGCUGUUGACACUAUUACAUCCUCACGCUGCUGUUAACUGUAGGCAGUUAAUUCAGCAGUUUGCUGUGGAUGUUCAUGGAUCUGCAGUGUGAGGCUGGCUACUCGCUUUGGAAGCCUUAACUCACUGCCCUGCUGGAAAUAAUGGCUUCAGAGCUGAAUUGUCUUUAUAUACACUGUUGAUCUCGAAUUUAUACAAGCAAGCAGCACAGGCCUGACUGUACAACACAGAGCGCCUUUCAUCUUGAAAUCUCAAACUGCUUUUUGAAUGUGAAUCUAGCAGGAAAAAAAA